CAAACUCAAGCCUUCAACUCGAGGACAAUCUCCACUGCCAAACACAAUGCCUGGCCCAGUGUUUUAUAAAUCUUCUGUAGCAAAGUCUAGAAUCACCUUUCCAAUGUGUCAACAGGCAGGGAUAAUCUGAAAAUCAAGAGGUUGCACCUCCCAGAGUCCUGUAAAGCACAUGGUCCAACCCGUUACCUAACAAGGCCAAUGACAUUUUGCUGAUCUCCACUCUAAUGGGAACACUGGCCUGGCAUUAAAACGCAAGCACAGACUGCCCAGCCAAGUACCGAGGCCUUGGCCAUCCCUAUAAGUCAGCAGCCUUGAACUGUAAACCUUCCACACCCUCUUCAAGUGACUUAGAGCAGCACCAACUGUCACCAUGAAAGCUCUAGUCUCUUCCCUCCUUCUAUUGCCGCCACUAACGCUGACAUAGGUGGUCGCCAGCAGCCCAAAUCCAGGUCUUGUGCUUUCCUACCAGCUCUACUUUGUUCAUACACGCAGCUCAAAACCACCUCCCCCCACAACCUCUCUUGAUUCCUCCCAUGAUCGGAUGUGAGUGCUUCCUCCUACUUAAAAAAUACUGUAAACGUGGGGCUGGCCCCGUGGCCGAGUGGUUAAGUUCGCGCGCUCCGCUGCAGGCGGCCCAGUGUUUCGUUAGUUCGAAUCCUGGGCGCGGACAUGGCACUGCUCAUCGGACCACACUGAGGCAGCGUCCCACAUGCCACAACUAGAAGAACCCACAACGAAGAAUACACAACUAUGUACCGGGGGGCUUUGGGGAGAAAAAGGAAAAAAUAAAAUCUUUAAAAAAAAAAAAAAUAC
rnacentral:lncRNA from 1 species